UACAGAAAUGGGUUUCGUAGACACCGGCCCAAACUAAACAAUGACGCAUUUUUUAACCAACGUCCUUGUAACCCAAUAAGGACGCUUAAAAUUUUGAACAGCACGGCCCUUAGCUAUAAUGAUAAAUGUUUAGAAUCCUUCUCUCCUUUCGAGACGUGAACAAAAUAAACAAAGAAAACUGAAGAGCCCCUUCUGCUCUCCACUUCGUCUUCUCCGGUUCUCUCUCUCGAUCGAGUGAGAGCUGUAUUCAUGAAAUCACCGCCGAUUCCUAGAUCAGCGACCAUUCAACAUCGAAUCCCUUGUCAUCUCCGUGUAUGCAUAAAACCUUCUCUUCUGCACACACAUGCUGCCAAAUCCCCUGUUUGUUUCAGCUAGAGCAAAUGGAGCAGCAACUUGAAAAAAUUCUUGAUUCUGUACAGGUUGAUUCAAAGAAGUUUCGAAUGCUGGCAAAUUGGCAGCGGGAUUUCACCAUGGAAAACAUAUUGAUGCAGCUGAAGAAGGAAAUGACAGCCUCACACAUACUUAAAAUACCAGCUGCUGAAACUUGUUAGAUAUUCUACGUACUAAUAUUAGGCUUCAGACUCAGAACACAUGCUCAACUUAAGUUGCUAGUAGCUGCUGGCAUGUUUAAAUGUUAAAGUUUUUAACAGGUUGAGGACUAUCAAAAGAAAGAUCAAAAGGCCAAUAAAGUACAUUAACUACCGGGAUUAUACACGGUAAUUACUUUUGCUUAUGUCCUAAGUUUGGGAUCAUAGAGAUUACAUUUCGAAAUAUG